AAAGCACGACAUUGCUCACAUUGCUUCCAGUGUUUAUUUUAGCCAGCCUACGUGCUGGCUUUUUUUU
rnacentral:antisense_RNA from 1 species